GGUAAAAGUCCAACUCCUGGUCCCUGUGGAAAGGACCAAGAAUUUUACGCUCUUCCUUUCGGGAAGGGAGGAUUAGGAAAAUCCUCUUGAUUGCAACAUUCUCCAGACCUCCGGGAAAAACAUGAAAAAAAAAACGGCUCGAAUGGUACGAUCCCUCCGUCACCUUAGAAUGAAAGGGAUGAUCUCGUAGUUCUUAGUCUGUGAAAAUGCGUUGUUAGGUGCUCCAUUUUCUUUUCCCACUGAGGCCAAACCUAAACUUGUGCUCGAGAGAUAGCUAUCCAUACACUGAUAAGGGACGUAUGGAUUUUUGAGUGGUGGCCCCCCGGACUGCCCGAAUCCCACGAGUGAAUCGAAAGUUGGAUCUCACCCGAAUCGCCCCAUCUAUCCUUAG
rnacentral:lncRNA from 1 species